GACAGAGGGUGCAAACGUUGCUCGGAAUCACUGGGCGUAAAGGGCGUGUAGGCGGGAAGGAAAGUCGGGCGUGAAAUCCCUGGGCUCAACCCAGGAACUGCACUCGAAACUUCUUUUCUUGAGUGCCGGAGAGGAAAGCGGAAUUCCUGGUGUAGAGGUGAAAUUCGUAGAUAUCAGGAGGAACACCAGUGGCGAAGGCGGCCUUCUGGACGGUAACUGACGCUGAGACGCGAAAGCGUGGGGAGCAAGCAGG
rnacentral:rRNA from 1 species